rnacentral:lncRNA from 1 species
GUUGAUCUAAUUGUAGAUCUUACUUUGCUGAACCUUAUUGCUGUUAAAAAUUUCUCUCUAUCCAUAAUAAUAUUCAAGGUAAUCAAUGUUGUUUUAGUAAAUCAGCUGAUUAUGUGCUUACCAGCUGCACAUGGUCAAUCAAUUAAAAGCAAUAAAUUUCUUCAGUUUAAGUGACCACAAAUAAUUGCUCCCAAUCAAGCAUUAAAUUUGUCUGACCCUAAAAUGUUGUGGAACAGUAUCAUUAUAAAUCACAGCUUUAUUCUGUUAAGCUCCUGUGCAUUUAGCAUGUCAGUUAAUACAUGAUAUUGAAUUAUGCUGGCUGAAAUUGAAGUUAUCAGAAUAAACAUAAUGUUGGAAGAAAAUAUUUUAGAAGAUGUAGGAACUUUUCUACAAAAACAUCACAGACACUGGACAAAAACUAUAAAAAAAAUCCCUUGAAAACACAUAGAGA